CCUGAAAACCUCUAACCCAGGUUUUGGGCAGAUGCCAGACUCUUAUUCUGAAGCCGAGGCCACAACCUAUGAGGUAAUCUUUGGAGUUGCAUUCGAGGCGGAGUCCCAUUGGCAGGUUGGCGAAGCCCCUCCCCCAGGUUCCCGGCGCCCCGCCUUCCCUGAAGCUCAUAAAAGCGCAGGUCCCCCGCCUAGGCAGCCACUGGACACCUACAACUGCCUACAGGACUGAAAGCAGGCGACGAAGACUGUGAAGUUUGACGGUCUGGAAAGCAGAGGCCAGCCGCGCUGACUAUCUGGGAGCACCGAGACUCCGGACAGCGCCGCUCGAGGUCCAGGAAGCAAGCCACAACCUGCUUCAGCACCAGAGCUCCGGACAGCUCCUAGGGAUUUCGGGGCCGACUUCAUUUCAGAACCAGGACGCUGGAUAGCUUCCCUGACAAGAAGGUGAGAUACAAGUGCACACACAAAAAAAUCUAAUUUACAACAGGUGAGAUGGACAAUCGGUAGUAUGGUGUGGGGGGGGGGGCAGGGGCCUGUCAACAUGGCAUUAGUGUCCUCUUUCCAGACUUCUGUGAGAAGCAUAGUGCCAAGCAUUUUACAUACAUAAUAUCUUGCCUUCUUUGGCCCUGG